CAUACAUCUUUUGUAACCAGCAUGGUAAAUAUUAGGUUCUUGAGAGUGGAGCGCUUGUUCUGAGUGACAAAGUUUCUUGUUUUAUCGAUGGGUUCGACAAGAUGUCUGAUAAUACUCGAAGCAUGCUACAUAAGAUAUGCAGAUGCUUUAUUGCUAGCCUGAAUUUAAGUUCAGAGGAUCUUCUCUUUUGGGGGUUUUUCCAAUCUGCUUGCUAGGCUAGAAGCCUGUUUAUUCUACUCAGAUAGCUCUCCAAGUAUCAAGCUCUGCUUGGGAUUUAUGGUUGCGGCAGUAUGAAAUAGUUUUACAAGUUGCCGUAAGAAAUAAAAAUGGCUCUUCCAGUUACACUGGAGAUUAGUA